rnacentral:rRNA from 1 species
AUUGAACGCUGGCGGCAGGCCUAACACAUGCAAGUCGAGCGGAUGAAGGGAGCUUGCUCCUGGAUUCAGCGGCGGACGGGUGAGUAAUGCCUAGGAAUCUGCCUGGUAGUGGGGGAUAACGUCCGGAAACGGGCGCUAAUACCGCAUACGUCCUGAGGGAGAAAGUGGGGGAUCUUCGGACCUCACGCUAUCAGAUGAGCCUAGGUCGGAUUAGCUAGUUGGUGGGGUAAAGGCCUACCAAGGCGACGAUCCGUAACUGGUCUGAGAGGAUGAUCAGUCACACUGGAACUGAGACACGGUCCAGACUCCUACGGGAGGCGGCAGUGGGGAAUAUUGGACAAUGGGCGAAAGCCUGACCCAGCCAUGCCGCGUGUGUGAAGAAGGUCUUCGGAUUGUAAAGCACUUUAAGUUGGGAGGAAGGGCAGUAAGUUAAUACCUUGCUGUUUUGACGUUACCAACAGAAUAAGCACCGGCUAACUUCGUG